rnacentral:misc_RNA from 1 species
GCGAGUAUGGCCCUCACGGGUCUAAUCCACCAUAAACACCUAUGUGAACCAGUCAGGGGGACUCGGCCGUGAAAGCCCAGGCGAUUAGCGGAAGGGCCCUCCUUUGCAAACCCGUUUAGAAGUCUUGAAAGUACUUUUGUAUAAUCUAGUA